rnacentral:rRNA from 1 species
UACGGAGGGGGCUAGCGUUAUUCGGAAUUAUUGGGCGUAAAGGGCGCGUAGGCGGCCCGGUAAGUCAAAGGUGAAAUCCCUCGGCUCAACUGAGGAACUGCCUUUGAAACUGUCGGGCUUGAGGCCGGGAGGGGGUAGCGGAAUUCCGGGUGUAGCGGUGAAAUGCGUAGAUAUCCGGAGGAACACCGGUGGCGAAGGCGGCUUCCUGGACCGACACUGACGCUGAGGCGCGAAAGCUAGGGGAGCAAACGGG